AUGUGCGAAAGCACGACAAGGUUAAUCCGAGUGUCUCCUGCUAAAGGAGUCUUUUGUCAGUUGUAGAAUCACUGGUGAAUAAGGGGUGGGCAAGUUCUGGUGUCAGCCGCCGCGGUAAAACCAGCACCUCGAGUGGUCAGGAGGUUUAUUGGGCCUAAAGCAUCCGUAGCCGGUUGCAUAAGUUUUCGGUUAAAUCUAUGCGCUUAACGUAUAGGCCGCCGAGAAUACUGUGCAGCUAGGGAGUGGGAGAGGUACACGGUACUCGAUAGGAAGGGGUAAAAUCCUUUGAUCUAUUGAAGACCACCUGUGGCGAAGGCGGUGUACCAGAACACGUUCGACGGUGAGGGAUGAAAGCUGGGGGAGCAAACCGGAUUAGAUACCCGGGUAGUCCCAGCUGUAAACGAUGCAGACUCGGUGAUGCAUUGGCUUGUGGCCAAUGCAGUGCCGCAGGGAAGCCGUUAAGUCUGCCGCCUGGGAAGUACGUACGCAAGUAUGAACUUAAAGGAUUGGCGGGGGAGCACCACAAGGGGUGAAGCCUGCGGUUCAAUUGGAGUCAACGCCA
rnacentral:rRNA from 1 species